rnacentral:rRNA from 1 species
UACAGAGGGGGCAAGCGUUGUUCGGAAUUACUGGGCGUAAAGGGCGCGUAUGCGGCCUGCUAAGUCGAACGUGAAAUCCCCGGGCUCAACCCGGGAACUGCGUCCGAUACUGGCAGGCUUGAAUCCGGGAGAGGGAUGCGGAAUUCCAGGUGUAGCGGUGAAAUGCGUAGAUAUCUGGAGGAACACCGGUGGCGAAGGCGGCAUCCUGGACCGGCAUUGACGCUGAGGCGCGAAAGCCAGGGGAGCAAACGGG